CCUACGGGUGGCAGCAGUGGGGAAUAUUGGGCAAUGGGCGCAAGCCUGACCCAGCAACGCCGCGUGAAGGAAGAAGGCUUUCGGGUUGUAAACUUCUUUUGACAGGGAAGAAUAGAAGGCGGUACCUAUCGGAACAGCCACGGCUAACUAAGUGCCAGCAGGCGCGGUAAUACGUAGGUGGCAAGCGUUGUCCGGAUUUACUGGGUGUAAAGGGCGUGUAGGCGGGUGUACAAGGCCGAUGUGAAAUCCUGAGGCUUAACCGCAGAACUGCAUUUGAAACUGGUGUUCUUGAGUACUGGAGAGGCAGACGGAAUUCCUAGUGUAGCGGUGAAAUGCGUAGAUAUUAGGAGGAACACCAGUGGCGAAGGCGGUCUGCUGGACAGCAACUGACGCUGAGGCGCGAAAGCGUGGGGAGCAAACAGGAUUAGAUACCCGAGUAGUC
rnacentral:rRNA from 1 species